GUCCUGUAUCACCUCUUUGAGGAGUUUGCCAACUACGAACACGUGGGCAUCGUGGACAUCUUCCUCGGCUUCCUGAGCUUCUUCGUGGUGGCCCUGGGCGGGGUGCUUGUGGGCGUGGUCUACGGGGUCAUCGCAGCCUUCACCUCCCGAUUUACCUCCCACAUCCGGGUCAUCGAGCCGCUCUUCGUCUUCCUCUACAGCUACAUGGCCUACUUGUCAGCCGAGCUCUUCCACCUGUCAGGCAUCAUGGCGCUCAUAGCCUCAGGAGUGGUGAUGCGCCCCUAUGUGGAGGCCAACAUCUCCCACAAGUCCCACACCACCAUCAAAUACUUCCUGAAGAUGUGGAGCAGCGUCAGCGAGACCCUCAUCUUCAUCUUCCUCGGCGUCUCCACGGUGGCCGGCUCCCACCACUGGAACUGGACCUUCGUCAUCAGCACCCUGCUCUUCUGCCUCAUCGCCCGCGUGCUGGGGGUGCUGGGCCUGACCUGGUUCAUCAACAAGUUCCGUAUCGUGAAGCUGACCCCCAAGGACCAGUUCAUCAUCGCCUAUGGGGGCCUGCGAGGGGCCAUCGCCUUCUCUCUGGGCUACCUCCUGGACAAGAAGCACUUCCCCAUGUGUGACCUGUUCCUCACUGCCAUCAUCACUGUCAUCUUCUUCACCGUCUUUGUGCAG
rnacentral:circRNA from 1 species